rnacentral:tRNA from 1 species
GCGGUCGUGGCGGAAAUGGUAGACGCGCAGCGUUGAGGUCGCUGUGGGGGAAACCUCGUGGAAGUUCGAUUCUUCUCGACCGCACCA